UGUCAUUCAAGAACACCUAGAAGUGUACUGCUUUUAAAAUUUUGAAUGCCUUUCCAGAGGACAAUUCAAGCUCUUGUACAGAAUAUUCCUCACUUGAAUUGCCAUUUCAUCUCCAUCUUACAAUAAAAAGAUGGGGAAAUCUACUGAAUCACCUUGACUGUAGGUAAGUCAGAAGGCCGUUUCAGGAGUGGCAUCUGUGUGUAAACUGAAUGUGUGGCUGUGCUCCAAUGCACUUGCACUAUCUAGCUCAAUGUGAACUUUGCAAAUUAGCAGAAAGAAACCUGGCAUUCUCCAAGGUUCAAAGUCACUUAGAGAGUAGAGAGAUUGGAAUUGCGUGGGGUGAGAAUGCAUGAUGAGAGCUUACAUCCCACAGAUAAAGAAGCUCCACAACCUCCUAUGGCUAGUAAAGUCUGGUCCUUUAGGGUGAAGCAAUACUGUACCAACCUCAGCCUGCUCUCACUGGCCUCACUUUUUACUUACAACCUGAUGGUCUACUUGCCCUACUAGUCCCAAUAGAAACCAGCCACCAUUGCCUAAGGUUAUAGAUAGAUGUUGUUCUUGCAUGUAUAACAUACUGCUAUUGUUUACAGCAUCUUAAAAAGCAGAGACAUCACCUUGCUGACAAAGGUUCGUAUAGUUAAAACUAUGGUUUUCCCAGUAGUGAUGUAUGGAAGUGAGAGCUGGACUAUAAAGAAGGCUGAUCGCCGAAGAAUUGAUGCUUUUGAAUUAUGGUGCUGGAGGAGACUCUUGAGAGUCCCAUGGACUGCAAGAAGAUCAAACCUAUCCAUUCUGAAGGAAAUCAGCCCUGAGUGCUCACUGGAAGGACAGAUAGUGAAGCUGAGGCUUCAAUACUUUGGCCACCUCAUGAGAAGAGAAGACUCCCUGGAAAAGACCCUGAUGUUGGGAAAGAUGGAGGGCACAAGGAGAAGGGGAUGACAGAGGAAGAGAUGGUUGGACAGUGUUCUCGAAGUUACCAGCAUGAGUUUGACCAAACUGCGGGAGGCAGUGGAAGACAGGAGUGCCUGGCGUGCUCUGGUCCAUGGGGUCAUGAAGAGUCGGACACGACUAAACAACAACAAAAUUGUUUACAUGGCCAGUUAAUCCAAGGAUAUAAGAUAGGAGAGUCAAGAAUCCCUGAUCUCUCUAGAAGUUAUAUCCUCCAGCACCACCCCAUUCACUUAAAUGACUCUUUAUUCUCUUGAACUUUUAAGCAAAUCAGGGAUCAGGCUGAGUCCAAUUAUUGUUAUCACACGAUAACUGACAAGUUCUAGGACUCCAGCCAGUUUGGCAUUUGGUGUCAGAUAGACCUAUACUUGUGCAUAAAUAAACAUCUCUUUCUCUCCCCCCCCUCACCCUCUUACAAGGUAGGGAAAUAAUCUUAAUCCUUGUUUUCUAUCAGCCUACCAACAUAAAACCAUUGAAUAAUAGAAUUGUAGAGUUUGAAGGGACCUGAGGGUCAUCUAGUCCAACCCCCUGCGAUGCAGGGAUCUCAACUAGAUCAUACAUGAUAAAUGGUCAUCCAACAUCUGCUUUAAAACAUCCAUGGAAGGAAAGUCCACCAUGGGAGUCUGUUCCACUGUCAAACAACUCUUACUGUCAGAAAGCUCUCCCCGGUGUUUAGUCAGAAUCUCUGUUCUUGUAACUUGAAGCCAUGGGUACUGGUCCUCCAGAGCAGGAGAAAACAAUCUUGCUCCAUUCUCCAUGUGACAGCCAUGGGUCUGUACAGAGUAAUAAUGAAAUGGCAUAAAGGUGACUUCAGAAAUAAAAUGCAUGAGCUCUGAAAUAGAACUCGGAAGGCAUAACAAGAGACAAGCAAGGAAGGGGGUCUGAUUUUCUUGAUGGUCUCAGAAACUGCUCAGAAACUACCCCUUCUGGCCAGAUCAGAUCUCUGCUUAAAAAGAAAAAAGAGCUCUUAGGCUUUCAAGUGGCAGUCUGCCAAAUAUUCAUGAUAAGCUUGUAUUGCUCAUUGCUUGAGCAGCCAAACAAUGACCUGCAUUGUUCCCAUAUCAACCAGGGAGUGGCUCCCCAGACAUUUUUUUUAAAGAAAAACCCCAAAGUAUUUUAAGAACAGAAAACAGGACCCAAUUAGGGUUGCUUUGACUAAGCUAGCCAAAAGGCAUAUCUACACUAAAAAUGGGGUCAAUAAUGAGAUCUCAUGUUCCCCUCCAAAACAGAGAUGAAGAGACUGACUAUUUUCUCAUCUGCUGCCAGGCUGAAUUUUUAUCUCUGGCACUUUUCAGGCAAGACCAGAAGAAAAACAAAAUAUACGCAAAUAGCCCCCACCUUUAUUUUGGACUUUUGCAUUAAUUGCUGUAAAGCAGCUAGAUUUAAAAGUGUCUCAGUUCACUAGACAGCACAGCAAAACAUUUAUAACAGAGUUGGUCUGCAAUUCUAUGCUCCAUCUCGAAAGAAUGUGAUCACAAUAAACCUUUUAUUAAGCUUUGUGGUAACCUAGGAAAAACGCAGGCCUCUCUGUGCAGCUCAUGGGUUUAUUGCCACGCCUCACAUCCCUCCCUAAACCUGUCCUUGUCAAGUCCUUGACUGGAUAGAGGAAAGACACCCUAAGACCUCCUCAUGAAGGGAAGCAGCAGCAGCUUUGACUUUUGCAUGGCUGAAAUGCAGUCUACUAAAAGGACCCCUGACAGUUAAGACCAGUCGCGAACGACUCUGGGGUUGCGGUGCUCAUCUCACUUUACUGGCUGAGGGAGCCAAUGUUUGUCUGCAGACAGUUUUUCUGGGUCAUGUGGCCAGCAUGACUAAGAUGCUUCUGGUGAAACCAGAGCAGUGCACAGAAAUACCGGAGCGGUACCUAUUUAUCUACUUGCAUUUUGACGUGCUUUUGAACUGCUAGGUUGGCAGGAGCUGGGACUGAACAAUGGGAGCUCACCCAGUCACAGGGAUUCGAACCACCGAUCUUCUAAUCAGCAAGCCCUAGGCUCAGUGGUUUACACCACAACGUCACCCUACGUCCCCAUGCAAUCUACUAUAUAGUGUAAAAGUCACACCAGCUCUUCCACCCAUUUUACCUUUGACACUGCCCCCUGCUGGCAUGUGACCCCUGGAAGGAUGCCCAUGAGGGAACGCAGCCGUUGCGUUGAAAAGUUCUCCACCCAAGUUUUAAGUACUUCAGGGGGGUUCAAUUUUGGAGCUGAAUUUAAACCCUCCCCUUUCUUUUCAUAUUGAAUUGAACUCAGGCCCAACUGGUGCCCCCCACCAUGACCACCUAUGAAAGCUGUGCUUCAUCUCAAAUCCUUAACACAUUUGGCAAACUCAGAAUGAGGAAAACAAAUUAUCCUGGAACCACAUUAUUGAGCCAACUGUAGCUGUCCAGGAAAAGUCCUUCCCAGUCCUAUAAAAAUAGAAUCAUUUAGUUCAAUGGGUAGGAACAGUAAGAUGUCUGAAAGGCCAGUCCACUGUAACUUGAUAAAAGACCAGAAGAGUGCUGUCCUGCCAUCCCACCCAUUGGCCAGUUCAAGCAACUAGCAAUAAAAAGGGCCAAUUGGAUAUGAUAGUGUAGGGGUUGAAAUUCAUCCCAAAGCAUCUCCUUGGUCUGACUCUUCAACUCUGCCCUAGGAGAUGUGCCAGUCCUUGCGCAUCUGCUCACCACCAGUCUGUGUGAUGGCACUGGAGAGACAAAUUAACCCAACUAAUGCAACAUCUCUGGAGCUCAUUCACAGUCGUUAAAUAAGAGUUCUUAUUAAAGACCAGACCCUGGAGCUAGAGUCUGAAUGUCUAGUCUCACUCUCAUAAAUGCAAGCAAUGCCAAACUUGCUCAAACUGAAGGACUGUGAGUUUCUAGACAUUUUUUUAAAGAAGAAUUCUGAGUAAUACAAGCUGCCUGUCUUGGCGAUAAGAGAAGGGUUAUUGUCCCACAAGCCAACUUCAUCUAGAACUUGAGAUCUUUUUCCUGAGGGGGAAGGGAAGAAAUUGUUGUGUUCUGGGUAGGGAUGUAGAAGAAAUUUAGUUUACAUUUAAAGGAGAAGCCACAUCCGUUACAUCCCCCCUCCCUGCAGCUGUUCUCCAACGGCAACAUGGUCACCCUUGGAAAUUCGCACUUCUCUGAAUUUUGCAAUGCAUUUCUCCAGGCAAGUGUUGUGAUCAAGGAUGCAUAUACUAGGGUAAGGUGCACACUAAAAAGCAUAUAUUGAUGAAAAUAUACAAACAUACAGGGGAAAGUGUGAGUUAGGCAAAAGUGCGUACAAGAAUGUGUUAAAAAUGUGUGCACUAAACUGCUGAUGAUGUGAAUUGUGAAUAACUGGAAUUAAGCCUUGGGGACAUGGGGAGCAGGGGCGGAAUUGACAAAUUUGCCCAUCCCUAGCUGGGCCUUGGUUGCUUGCCUGCUGCUGCUCCCCCUCCUUCCUCUUUCCUGCCACCUAUACUCUUUUGCAUGAUAGUAAUGAGAUGUACUAUUUAGUGCUGCCACUGUCUAUGUGACAUAUUUUUGAAACAAACAAACAAACAAAAAUCCUUCCAGUAGCACCUUAGAGACCAAUUAAGUUUGUUAUUGGUAUGAACUUUCAUGUGCAUGCACACUUCUUCAGAUACCUAUCUGAAGAAGUGUGCAUGCACACGAAAGCUCAUACCAAUAACAAACUUAGUUGGUCUCUAAGGUGCUACUGGAAGGAUUUUUUAUUUUUAUUUUGUUUUGACUACAGCAGACCAACACGGCUACCUACCUAUAACUAUAUUUUUGAAAGCAAGAGAGAGGAAGCAUAUUCUACAAACAGGAAAUAUACCUUUGUGGUUAUUUCUUAUUGUGUUUCUUAUUUAUAAUUUCGCCUUAUUAGGGCUCCUAGCUUAUCAUUCCAUUGAAGGAUGUACAGCAAAUGAUACGAUCAGUAAGAAUACAGCUAAGAUGCUUCAGAAGAACUAUUUCCUCUCAAAAUCUGAAUAAAGAUUCUAAAUUUCCAGUGUGGAUAAAAAUGAGGGGAGAAGAAGCAUUCUUAGAUCAUUCUACAUCUUUUUUGUGCAUCCCCCUCUUACUUACUUUCCUGUCUUCAAAUCAUGCUCAAGGUGACUCAUACGAAUAUUAUCAAAAUAUUUUCUGUUUCAAUUUUGACUCCUUCUUACUCCCCAGUUUUGAUCAAUUACUCAAUUUCCAAGAAAGGGUUAGAUGAGAGCUUUCCAAGAGAAACUCCCAGAAAAAAAAGAUACUACCCAGAUUUACCAAAACACAUCUGAAGGUAGGUGAAUUAUUAUUGAAUUGUUAUCAUUCCACAAUGGUACUCUACAAAGCUAUUUGAUGGAAUAUUUACUUUUUUAAAAAAUGGACAGUUAUUUGGCAGAGUGGGCUUCUACAUCUGAACAUGCUCAGUCUCACACUUGCCCAUAGUUAGGAACAUAAGAAGAGCUCUGCUGGAUCAGACCAAAGACCUAUCUUGCCCGGCAUUCUGUUCUCACAGUGGCCAACAAGAAGUAUAUGGGAAGCCUUCAAGCAAGUUGCAUUGAGGAAAGUUCACAUGCUUGUUGUACUGUGUUCUGCUGAUGGAAUUCUAGAGAUGGUGGUGGCUCCAGCAAAUGUGGCAGUUUCACAUUACAAGGAAUAUGCAUGUGGGGAUGUGUAAAACAGGGGAUGCUCAUACAUAGGGCAUCUAAUGCCACCAUUUCAUGUCUAAGGAUGGACAUAUCUAUUUCCAAACCAUGCAACUUCUUUCCCAGGCUAGGAAGCCCUGUGGCUCUGUCUAAUUCUGGUGAACCUCUUCUCUGCUCUCCCAACUGUCCACAUAGCAGCAGUCAUUUUUUCAGGCUGCAGCAAAGGGAAUCAGGGGCACUCUGGGAUCUGCUGAAAGGCCAGCUUCUUUUCCUGAAUGGUUUCCAUUCCAGUUGGUCAUAAGGAUUACUAAGGAACCUUAAGAAUUGUUGUCUGAGUUUUCCAGCUUUCCUCUUCCUUCCUCAUCCCUUUAUCCUUUUGUAUCAUUUCUUUUAGAAGACGAUCCUGAAGGAAGAGACUGUCUUAUUUUUUACUGAUUGUUUCUGAGCUGCUCUGGGAGCCUUUUCGCCUGAAGAGCAAAGUAAAAACACUUCAAAUAAAUAAUAAAUAUAAAUUAAUAUUUCA